UCGGGAAUUUUGGGCAAUGGGCGAAAGCCUGACCCAGCAACGCCGCGUGAAGGAUGAAGUAUUUCGGUAUGUAAACUUCGAAAGAAUAGGAAGAAUAAAUGACGGUACUAUUUAUAAGGUCCGGCUAACUACGUGCCAGCAGCCGCGGUAAUACGUAGGGACCAAGCGUUGUUCGGAUUUACUGGGCGUAAAGGGCGCGUAGGCGGCAAUUCAAGUCAUCUGUGAAAUCUCCGGGCUUAACUCGGAACGGUCAGAUGAUACUGCUUUGCUAGAGUGCAGAAGGGGCAAUCGGAAUUCUUGGUGUAGCGGUGAAAUGCGUAGAUAUCAAGAGGAACACCUGAGGUGAAGACGGGUUGCUGGGCUGACACUGACGCUGAGGCGCGAAAGCCAGGGGAGCAAACAGGAUUAGAUACCCCCGUAGUCCCUGAGCGGGCUGGCAAGGCGCAU
rnacentral:rRNA from 1 species